ACUUGUAAACUGGAGUUGGUGGUGAUGGUGAUUUGUAGACUGAGUGUGUAGAGAGUAGUAUGACUCCUUAGGUGGUGGUGGUGAAUUGUAAAUGGGAGUUGGUGGUGGCAGAGACUUAUAAACUGGUGCGGGAUUGAUAUAGCUCCUUGGGUGUGGAGGCGAUAUGUAGACUAGGGUUGGUGGAGGUGGUGACUUGUUGACUGGGUGUGUGGAGGGUAGUAAGGCUCCUUAGUAGUGGUGGCGACUUGUAAACUGUAGUCGGUAGAGGCGGUGACUUGUAGAUUGGGGUAUGAGGAGGGUAGUAUGGCUCCUUAAGUGGUUGUGGUGACUUGUAAACUGGAGUCGGCGAAGGUGGCGACUUAUAGACUGGGUGUUUGGAGGGUAGUAAGGCUCUUUGGGUGGGGGUGGCAACGUAUAAACUUGAGUUAGUGGAAGUGGUGAUUUGUAGACUGGGUGUGUGGGGGAUAGUAUGGCUCCUUAGGUAGUAGUGGUGAUUGGUAAAUAGGAGCCGGUGGAAAUGGCGACUUAUAGACUGGGUGUGUGGAGGGUAGUAAGGCUCUUUUGGUGGGGGUGACGACUUGUAAACUGGAGUUGAUGGAGGUGGCAAUUUGUAGACUGGGGUGUGUGGAGGAUAGUAUGGCUCCUUGGGUGGUGAUGGUGGUGACUAGUAAAGCGGAGUUGAAGGUGAUGGUGAUUUAUAAAGUGGUGCAGGAUGAUAAGGUGUUGGUGAAGGAUGGUAUGGCUCUUUUGGUGAUGGUGGAGAUAAAUAUUGAUAAUUUGCUGAGCUUUGGGAAGCCAAGCAAAGUGACACAAAAACCACUAAAAGAGUGGAAAAUAGAGAGGCCAUUUCUCCCAAAAAGAAACAAAGGAGAGAAGUUGUUGUCCCUUUAAGCUGCACUCAAAGCCCUUUGUAUAGCUUUCAUUUAGAAGGUAUAAGGCUAAAGUUAUGUAUUUUUAAUUAGUUUUGUCAUGUUGUCGGUUCAAUUUGACCUUUGUUGGUAUACUUUUUUUUUUUUGUUGGAUAGAAGGUGCAAGCUAAGCAAAGAAAUUAACUACUAUGGCAGCUAUACUAUUUAUGAUGCAAUAAUUCAAAAAAAAAUACGUGGAUCCCACAACUUCCCACAAGAUUUUAGUUAUAGGAAUCUGAGCACUUUUUUUUUACACUUAGGGUGUGUAUGGUACGAUGGAAAAUAUUUUCUGAAAAAUGUUGGUUGUAGUAAAAAAUAUUUUCUAAGAUAAUUCAUUUUUUCCUAUUUGAGGGAAAAUGACUUCCCUCAUGGACCAAGGGAAGUUAUUUUUCGGAAAAUGAUAAAUGUGACUUAUGCCCCCAUCCUCACCCCUCUUCCCACCCCAACAACACUCAUAUUCACAUAACUCAAAAAAUUCACAUUUUUAAAAAAUUUAUUUUACUCAAAAUAUUUUUCACUGUGCUUUGCUUCAAUUUUUCACUGCUUGAAAUAAAAAAUAGUGAAGCCCGACUUUUUUUCAUUUCCAAUGUUCGUUGAAUGUAUUGUUAUUUUCAUAUGCAUAGAGGAAGACUUACCUAUGUUACUUUUGCUAAUUGCAUAUUUUAUUUUGUCAUCGAUGUUACUUCUUUCACGAGGUUGAAUAAGCUUAUCGUCCCGUUAUAUUUCUAUUGAUUGUAGUAUCUUGAGAUUGUCCUGAAAAAAUGUUGAAAAGUGUCUCCUAUAUUUGCUAAUUAAUAGUUGCUUAAAUUUAGUGAUUGUAAUAUUUUAGUAUUCGAUAUUGAUAUUAUUUAUUAUGCUUAAAUUAGUUCUUACAAAUUGUUGAGUUGCUAGAUGCACUGAUAUACUAGUUAACAGUUAGUAGUAUUUUCUAAAAAAAAAAAUUUCACUCACCAAUCAAACACUAGAAAAUAUUUUUCUAAAAAAUAUUUUCUACUCACCAACCAAACACCAUAAAAUAUUUUUCGAAAAUAUUUUUCACUCACCAACCAAACAUGAGAAAAUAAAUAGAAAACCAACUUAUUUUCCAAGAAAACAUUUUUCAUGAAAAAUAUUUUCCAUCGUACCAAACACACCCUUAGUAUUUGAAGAAUUCAAUUCUUGUGGAUUCUGACAGCUUAACUAACCUUCACUUAAGUGCUGAGAAAUUUAAAACAAUAUGUAUACAGUAUCAUAUAUUCUUUAAAAGAAAUGAUAUGUCAUUGUUAAAAGAGUUUAAUCUAGAGAAAACUGUGCAUGUGACUCGCUUUCAUUACCAACUAAAUCAAUUAUGUUCUUUCCUUUUGUGUAGUAGAGCUAAAAGAAACAUCAACCGAUUAUUUUGUAGCUCAAUGUUGAAAACUUAUGUGGUUCAAUAUGAUAUCUCUGAAAAUUUUACAGCUUGUUUGAUAGCUGCUGCCUAAUAAUGUAUUGUAUCGUGUUGCUAGUUUAAAUAUAAUGUGUAUUUUGAUUGUUUCUUAAAUUUUACUGUAUCAUUAAAUCUAUAACUAGAUAGCAAUAAAAAGUCUCAUUUGGUGUAACGACCUAUUUGAUGUGAUCGCGUUGUUACCUUUUUUCCCCUUUUUAUUUAUUAUUUAAUUAUCUUAAUGCUCCUUUAUCCUAUAUUUUUAUAGUAACUCUACCUCACAUUUUUCUAUUUUCCUUCUAGGCUUAUCCUUGAACUGUUAUAUGAAGGAUGCAAUGUAAUGACGAAAAAGGUAUAAUAAAUCCAAAUAUCGUAACAUUCACUAAAAUAAUAAAGUACAUACAAUACAACAUGAUACUUUAUGAAACAAUAUCAUUCCAAGUUAAGGACUUGAUUAGAAUGUGCAUGUUAAGUGUCUGAUGGGUUACUUAAGUAUAAAGUUCAAGUCCAUAUAAAAAGAUAAACCCUAAUUAUAAUGCCUUCAUCAUGGCUGGUCGACAGUAGUCUACUACUGAAUUUCCUCCUUUGAACCCAAAUUCUAUUGUGAAUAUCCAAACCCUACCGUUGGAUAAAUCUUUUGUUGAAUCAAUCAGUACAACAAAGUUGGACACCGUCUCUCGCAAAGAGGUGGUCAUGGUGGAAGGAAUCCCGAAUGUCACACUGAAAAAAGUGGAUACAGUGAAUAAAAUGGAGAAUUUGCAAUUUGUUGUCAUAGGUAAAUUCACUUAAGAAUGGACGGGUAUAGAAGAAUUAAGGAAUAUUAUCCCACAGCAAUGCAACAUUAAUGGUGAUUGUCAAAUUGGAGUAUUCAGAAAUAAACAUAUUUUCAUUCGUUAGACACAGGAGUCGGAUUUUAUUAAUAUCAUCAUCUCAAAGGGAGCUUUUUCCUUGCACUGUAAGGAUGGGUUCUCUUAUUUGAUGCGAACACUCUCACACUUAUCUAUGAUCCCCUUUUCAAAGAAACUUUAGAGACUACAAAGACUUUCGCAUGGAUUUCUUUCCCAAAUCUAUUGCCUACCUAUUAUGUCAAGGAAUGUUUGUUUUCUUUAGCUGCAACAGUGGGAAAGCCUGUCCAACUUGAUCUAGCCACCAUUAAUAGGACUAGACCAAGUUGUGCAAGGAUUAAGGUCUUGGUUGAUCUAAAAGCUGAUUUCUCUAAAUCAGUCCGGAUGGAUAUUGAAAAUGAAGAGUCAGGUAAAUGCAGGACAAUAGUGAAGCGGAUUAAAUUCGACCAUAUUCCUAAGUAUUGUCAUGAAUGCAAUAUGCAAGUUCAUGCUAAGAAUCAAUGUAGAAACUUAGGCACCCCAGAGGAUGCAACAAUGGCAGUAACAGUGGAUAAUAAGGAAUAAAAGAGGCCAGUACAACAUCUUCCUAAAUUCACAAUGCCUUUUGUACACAAAUUUCAAAACGGAAAAGCAUGAGUUCUUUCGAGUGGGAUUGUAGUUGGAGAUCCUACUAACUGGAUGGUUAUUAAAAAUGAUAAGAGGAUAGUUAAUACUUCCCAACAGCCUCUUUUAAUGAUAUAGUUAAUACUUCCCAACAGCCUCUUUCAAUGACAAAUAACCAAUUUGCUGCUCUAGCUACCGACGACAAAGAACCUGCUGAAUUAAACAUUUCGACAAAGGAGAGUUCAAACCUUAAGGCAUGUACGGAUGUGUUCCAAAUAAUAAGGAAAAUGAAAAAGUUAAUCUGUGGUCCAAUAAAGAAUCUGCUAAAGAGUGGGUAUCAAGGGAUUUUGGCAAGCUAGGUGAAGUUCCCAAUUCUGUAAUACCUGUACAGCAACAAGGCAGUCAGCAACUAAGUAAUCAACAACAAAGGCAAGAUAGAGAUAAUAAUGCUAAAGAGAAUAAUAAAGAUGGUAAUGGGAUGGAGAAUGAUAUGCAGGUUAAAUCUUUAAUAAAUCAGGAGCAUAAUAUUGAUGAUGGUCAGCAACAAUGCCUCAUAGUCAAAAAGGACAAUCUGCAAUCUAUAGAAGAUGUGCAACCAGAUACCAAGCAAUAGUCAAUGCAGAUUAAUCAAGAUUUUUACAGUGGAAGCUAUGAUAAUGGAGAUAGGUCAGUUGAGGAAAGUGUGGGGAUAACAGUUGUGAUGCAAGGGGAACAAAAUGUGUGUUUAGAAAUAAUGGAGAUUCCAAAACCAGUGCAGAUAGAUGAAUCAUUUAUCGUUACCAAGAGUUCUCCCAACAAAGUAAUACAUGACAUUGUCUCUCAUAGUUUAGGGUACAUUAAAUGCAGUAAUCAAACUCACAUGGCCAAAGGAGUUAAAGAAGUAGAUGUAGAAGAUGAUUCGAAGGAUCAUGCUCCAUCGGAAGCUGAUUUAUCACCAAGACUGAUGAAAAUCUCUAAAAAAGGAUAAAAAAGAAUGUGGAUGGGAGAAAACUCACAACCUACCAGAGUUCAUCCUAAGCGAUCCAAAUCUGCCCUAAAUUAUCAAUGAAAGCACUUAUUUGGAACAUUAGGUCUGUGAAGACACAACAAGAUUUCAAAGACUUCAGAUGCUUAAUAAUUAUCAUAAGUUCACCGGUUUCAGUUUGUUAGAGCCUUUUCAGAAUGUUAGAUAUAAGAGAAGAUUGAAAAUGCAUAGGGCUAUGUCAAACUGCAAUAGCAAGAUUUGGUUUUUCUCCUCUCAAGAUGUGAUAACAACUGUUAUUAAAGACACUGAUCAUCAGCUACAGUUCACUUGCAGGAGUAGGCUCAGAGCUUAGAUUUAUUACUCUUGUUUAUGCAAAGUGUUCUAAAGAGGAGAGAUUAAUCUUAUGGAAGGAUAUUUAUCAAGUUGCUUCUGGAAUUUCAAAACCUUGGAUGCUAGGAGGAGAUUUAAUGUUGUUUUGAAUUCUGAAGAGAAAAUUGGUGGCCUUCCAAUUCUUGAUGCAGGCCAUGGGGACUUUCAAUCAUGUAUUUCUUAUUGUGAUUUGAUGGAGAUACCUUUUAAAGAAAGUUCUUUCACUUGGUGGAAUGGUAGAGCAGGUAAUGACUGUAUUUUAGAAAGAUUGGAUAGAAUUUUUACUAAUCAACAACAACAACAACAACAACAACAACAACAACAAACCCAGUGUAUUCCCACCUAGUGGGGUCUGGGGGGGUAAGAUGUACGCAGUCCAUACCUCUACCUCUGCUGAAUUUUUACUAAUCAAGAUUUACAAAAUAAGUUCAAUCACAUGAAGGUAGAACAUCUUGCUACUAGUUCAGAUCAUGCUCCCAUGUUGUUGUAUUGUUAUGACAGAGCUAUCAGUUACAAGAAAUCUUUUAGAUUUCUUAAGUUUUGGACUGAUCAUCCUAAGUUCCUAGAAGUAGUAAGGCAGAAUUGGUGUUCUUCAGGUUCUCAGAGUCCAUUCUUAGAUUUCAAAGCAAAGAUUAAGAGAAUUAAAGUUGCUUUGACAAGAUGGAGUAAAGAGACUUCUGGGGAUAUUUUUAAAUAGUUGAUAAUCAGGGAAGAAAUUGUCAAGAUCAAAGAGAAAUUAUUUGAGGAAUGCCCUACGGCUGAUAACAGCGAAGUGUUGCAAAGAGCUCAGUCCGAGCACAAAAUAUAUCUUCGUUUUGAAGAGAUUUUUUGGCAGCAAAAAGCAGGUUAUGACUGGUUUGAGAAUGGUGACAGAAAUAUUAAAUUUUUUCAUAGCACUGUGAAGGGGAGGAGGAAAAGAUUGAAUUUGAAUAGAAUUCAAAUUAAUCAGGGUAUUUGGCUGGAUAAAGAAGAAAAGAUAGCCGCAGAGGUUGUUAUGUUUUAUCAGGACCAAUUUAGACAAGAACAAGAGGCUAAUGUUUUUUCAUAACUGAAUAAUAUACCUAAGAGUAUUUCUGAUGAGCAAAAUAUUGUUUUAAGUCAGUAAGCUGAUCUUGAAGAAGUUAAAAAGGCACUUUUUAGCUUAAAUGAAUAUAGUGCAAGUGGCCCGGAUGGGUUAACAAGUAGGUUCUAUCAGGUUCGCUGGGAUAUUAUUGGUAAUGAUGUUCUUAAUCUGGUGCAAGAUUUCUUAAAAGGUAAUACUCUUCCCAAAUUCAUUAUUCAUACUAAUUUGGUGUUGCUUCCCAAGAAGGAUUUUAUUCAAUUUUUCUCAGAUUUGAGACCAAUUAGUCUUAAGUAAUUUUAUUAAUAAGAUCAUUUCUAGGAUUGUGCAUGACAAAAGUGAACUUCUUUUGCCUAGACUGAUUUCUUUUAAUCAAUCUAAAUUUGUCAAAGAGAGAAGAAUUAUUAAAAAUUUCCUCCUGACUCAAGAGAUAGUUACUGACAUCAGAAAAAUGGGUAAGCCGGCUAAUGUGGUCUUAAAGCUUGAUAUGACUAAGGCUUAUGAUAGGGUUUCCUGGUUUUUCCUGAUGAAGGUUCUAAGAAAAAUAGGGUUCUCAAAAUUGUUUAUGGACUUGUUUUGGAGAUUAUUGUCUAAUAAUUGGUAUUCUAUACUAAUUAAUGGGCGAUCACACGGCUUUUUUCACUCAACUAGGGGAGUAAAACAAAGAAAUCCUUUAUCUCCAGCUUUCUAUUUGAUGAUGCUCAAUAUGUAGGUUAUGAUAUGCCAAAGUGGAGUUCCAAUAUUAAUCAUCUUGCUUAUGCAGAUGACACUAUUAUAUUCGCUGCAGCUAACAGAUACUCUUUGAGAAAGAUUUUUUCAGUGUUACGGGAAUAUGAAACUCAAUCAGGGCAAAAAGUUAAUAAAGAGAAGAAUGCUUUCUACAUGCAUCAGAAUUCAGCUGCAGUUGAUAAACAAAUGGUGGAAGAUUGUGCGGCUAUUUCUAAAGGCCAAUUUCCUUUGAAAUACCUUGAAUGUCCUAUCACUCAUGCUAGAAAAAGAAAGAGUCAUUAUUCAGAGCUAAUUCAGAAGGUUAAGUCAAAAUUACAGGCUUGAAAAGGUAAUAUUCUCUCAUAUGGGGGGAAAGGAGGUCCUUAUCUCUAGUGUUCUUCAAAGUGUUCCUAUACAUAUCCUUUCUGUUGUUGUCCCUCCUAUUUGUGUAUUGAAGGAGCUUCACAGAAUAUUUGCAAAUUUUUUUGGAGUAAUAAGGCCGAUGGAAGAAACAAACACUGGGCUGCUUGGGUAAAGGUGUUUUUACCAAAACAGAAGGCAGUUUGAGUUUUAGAUCGAUGUUUGAGGUAUCUCAAGCCAUGUAUCCUAAGUUCUGGUGGAAGUUCAGAACUCAAAAUACUACUUGGUCCAACUUUAUAUGAGACAAGUAUUGCAAAAAGCAAAUACCUUCACUAGUUUAAUGGAAAGGUGGCUCGCAAGUAAGGAAGCAUAUGUUGCAAAAUAGGGAUCUAGUGGAGCAAUUCUUGUGGUGGAACCUAAAGGAGGUACUUCUACAGUUUGGUAUGAUAAUUGGACUCAACUUGGUCCUCUUUUCAAACACCAGGUAGAGGUCAUUCUUCUUUUCCAGUGAUGGAUAUUGAGGAAUUCAUGUUGGGCUCAGACUGGGAUUUUGAGAAUAUGCAAUAUCAUUUAUCAGAUAAUGUAGUAGAGCAUGUAAGAUUACAUUUGAGGCUUGUACGACAUCCUGGAGAAGGUGACAAGCCCUGGUGGAUUAAAUUUAGUUCUGGCAAGUUCUCGGUUAAAAGUGCUUGGGAAGAACGGAGGAAAAAAACGUUUGUAAUGAGUCAUUUCAGAAGAUCUGGGUAAAAGAGAUUCCUUUCAAAAUUUCUUACUUUGGUUGGAGAGUUUGGACAAAUAGGAUUCCUGUAGCCUCUGUUUUAGCUAAUUGGAAUCCUAACUUGUCUCCUCUUUAUUCAUAUUGUGUUUCAAGAAAUCAUGGAGCACCUCUUUCUAAAAGGUGAAGUGGUUUAUUUCGGUUUGGAUUUAUUACGCCAAUGCUGCAGGUAUUCUGGGGCCCUGGGUUCAAAUUAAACUAUCCAUAAAGAAGUGGUGGGAUAUAAAUGGUAAUUAAAGACAAAGAUUCAUCUUUCAGGUAGUUCCUACUCUCAUUUUGUGGUUUUUACGGAAAAGAAGGAAUGCAUUAGUUCAUGGAGGUUCAUACUCUACAGCCAAGGUUAUUUGGGAUAUUAAUGGUUUAAUUAAGAAAAUUCUCAGAAAGAAGUUUGGUUAUGAUCAGUUACCAUCUAGUUGGCCUCAAAUAGUUGCUUUUUGACUUAUUUAGACCUACAUUUUUAUCUAGAUGGAUAAGAUGGUAUCCCCCACCUAGGGGAUAGUGGAAAUAUAACACUGAUGGAACCUCGAGAGGUAAUCUAGGUCGAAUUUCAGCUGAUUUUUGUGUACGAAAUCAUGUAGGUGAUCUUGUGUAUGCUAAGGGUUUCUCUAUUCCAGAUUCCACUAAUCUGGUUGUUAAAGUCAUUGCUAUAGGAGUUGGUUUACAUUAUUGCUUAGAAAAUCAAAUUGUCAACAUUAUUGUGGAAUCUGAUUCCCUUGUAGUAGUCAACAUGAUUAAUGGAGUGUGGGAAAUUCCUUAGAGUGUGAUAAUGGAGGUCAACUCCAUUAAAGAUAUGAUGGAUUCUUGUUCAGCAAGAGUACAACACUCCUUAGGAAAGGGAAAUACUCUUGCUGAUUAUUUAGCUAACUUGGUUUUUCAUUUUGCAGGUAACUUUGAAUUCAACAGUUUUCAUGAAAUUCCAAGCGCAGGUAGGAAGAUUAUCAAUCUAGACAAACAAGGCAUUCCACAAAUGAGGAUAAGACAGUGUACAUCAACUAAUUCAACAAGGGAUGGAUCGCUACUGCAGAUUACAAAGUGAAUUUACAAACUCUAUUAGCAGUGACUAGUUACUGGUGAAUUUAGUGCAGUCUGAAUUAGUUUCGUUUGGUUAACAUACCAUGCACCUGUGGGAAUUUUUAGGUGUUACAUAGAGUAUAAACCCAGGACUCACUUAUACUAGUUGCUAAUUUCUAGGUAUAGAGUUUAUAAAAAUCAAGCACAAAUUUAGAGGCAUUUCAUAGUCUCAAAUCUGUUGAUGAGGAGAGGAUGGAGUACCCGGGACCUCAAAUUUAGCGGCGGAAGAUAGACAGGGUAUAAUUAUCAAGCAAUACAAUUCUUUUAUACAGAUUCCACUUCAGAGAAGAACAAAAAUAAUCAUUGCCAACUUAUGGAUUGCAAAGUGUCAAAAUACAAAUUUCAGCAUUUGGAGUAACACAAGAAGGCAAGGAGCAAGAUAAGUAUUAAUGGACAGUAGUGGUGAUUAACAUUCACUAAUACUGAUUGAUUUCUAAGUCAUACAAUUGAAAUGGGGGUUAAGGUGAACCUGUUAGUUCUGGAUCCUUGGUGGUGGUAUCAAUCUCCUUGAGGUUUAUUCCGCUAGGAAAAAGAGAGAACAGUGAAAUCAUUUUUUUCAUUUCACAGAUGAGUUUAGAAUAGAAAAAGGGAGGUGACUUACCAUAUCAUCUGCAAUAAAUAUUUAUUGAUUUGGAGCUGUAGAAAUUUAGUUGAAACCAAUUUCAUGAAGUUUGUAAGAGAUUAAAGUGUCUUAGUGAAAUUUGAUGGAUGUUCCAUGGCAAUAAUGGCUUCCACAACUUAAUGCAACAACCAGAUGAGGUUGGAGUAGCAAAGAUUGAAACCAUAGUUGCCUCUCCGUGAUGUCUUUCAGCUUUGAGUUUUAUCCACACAUUCCUUUUCCUGCUUACAUUUUCUGUUUUUGGUCUUUUCAGAUGUCUGGAUAUAUUUGUUGCUUUUGUUUUGGACCCGGGUCUUGCUUAACUUGGGCCAAUUUGUACAUAUCUUUUCUGCUCCUGAAUAAAUUGGGCUCUGGUCCAUCUUCAAUUAAAAAAAAGGAAAAAUGACAUGGACUGACCAGUUUAAAAAAAGGAAAUUUUGCAUAUAUACCGACAUGUUUACUCUUAAUUACCAAAAAUUUCAACAUUUUUCAAAAUCUCCAAAAAUUCCAACAUUUGACCUCUGAUAAUACAAGUUAAUCACAUUAGAUACAUACUGUUGAUAUAUGUAUCUAAUGUGAUUAACUUGUAUCAUACAUUAGAUAUAUGUAGGGUUACAUUAGAUACAUGUAGGGUUACAUUAAAUACAUGUAGGGUUAACUUGUAUCUCAAAAAUAGUCCCAAAUAUGAAAUGUUGGAAUUUAUGUAAUUUUUCAGAAGUAGGGGGAUUUUUAGAAAUUUUGAAAGUUAUGAUGUUUAUUUAUGUAAUUUUUUGUUAAAAAGAAAAAAAAUAGCCCACACUAUGAAAAUAUGGACAAUUGGAGCCAGUAGACCCAAUUUAUUUCCUGUUUUUUCAGUCAUUUGGCCCAAAACUAUUCUCCUUACACAAUUAAGGGGAUUAAAUACUCUUCACAGUAGGCUACUCUUAAAUCACUUUUCUUUUCAAACUAUACUUUCCCAAAAAAAUGUUCACCUCUAUUAUGUGUCGAUCAAUCUACUGUGUUUUGUGAUAACAAUUGAGUUAGUAGGGCACAUGCAGUCUCUAUACCCAAUUGAUACACUUUUGUACCAUAUUGAUACAUGUUUAUACCCAAUUGAUACUCUUUAUACUACAUUGAUACACUUUUAUACUCAAUUGAUACUCUUUUAUACUAGAUUGAUACACUUUUAUACCACGUCGAUACAGUAUGUAUAUUACAUAAAUACAUCUUUUACAGAGGAAAUUUGUGCAAGCAUAUACAGUAACAAUACCAAAUUAAUACAGUAAAUCAAAAUUAGUAAGUACGAACAUAAUUGAUACUCUUUAAAAUUAUAGUAUUAAUAGUACAUAAAGUAACAAAAAAAAAGAUCAAAUCAUCUUUCCAUCAAUUAUUGUUUUGAUUUAGUUCAUUCUUUCUCCUUAACGCUCUUUUAUAUUUCUAACUUCCUCUUCCUACCUUUAUUUUCUCUUCUUUUUUUCUUUCCUUCAUUACUAAGUUAGUUGUAAACACCCAUAUGAUGAAGUAUGUAUUUACUCUUGAGUUGAUGUCAUAUUUAUCCUACUAAGAAAAAUCACAGGUUCUGUAAGGAAUUGUCUAGACAUGGAGUACAUAUAAAAAUUUAUUCUGCCACUUGAAAAAAACCUGUAAAAAACUAAUUAAAUUCAGAUUUUUUGAGAUUUUAUACAAAAUUUAUGAAAUGAGAAAGGUAAAUUGGAGUAUCGAAAAAAGGUAAAGGAACAAAUAUUUAGGAGUUUGAAUGGAAAGGAAACUGGGAAUGAAAAGAAAAGAAAGAAAGGGAAAGUUACUUCAAGGAUGUUUUUGAUUUUGUUUAAGCGUAUGACAGUGAAGGUUAGUUAGUGGAAUUACUCUGUGUCUAUUUAUGAUGUAUUUAAUUUUGACUGCUAUUUUUUUAUAUUAUUUUAGUUUUAGGUGUUAUUUCUGUCAUUUGCCCAAAAAAAAAAACUUACUAUUUUACUACAAUUCUUGUUGGUAAGAAUACAUUAUUUCUUUUUUUUUUUUAGGGCAAACAACAUAAAUUUCGAGAAUUUGGAGCUUAAUUACAGAAAAUUCUGAUAUUUUGCAUAAUUGUUGAAAAUCUCAAUUUUGGAUCUGUUGAGAUACAUUAUUAGCUUCUGAUACAAUCAAAAAGAUACAUUUUUAACUUUGUAUAGAUAUAUAAUUAGCUUCCGCUACAUAUUUUUUAAAUUUUGCGUUUGUUGAGAUAUAUAAUACAUCCAAUGAAGAUAUAUUUUUUUCUUUGUAAAGAUAUAUAAUUAGCUCCCAGUGCAGUUUUUUUAUUUUUGGGUCUGUCGAGAUACAUAAUAAGCUUUCGAUACAUCCAACGAAGAUAUAUAAUUAAUUGAGCUUUUUGUAGUUAUUUUGUAAGAGUGAAAAUUUUGUAUAAAUAUAAUAAGUUAAGAUGUAUAUUUAUACUAUUUUUCCAUAAUUUGCUUGCGAACCAAAUCGACCACUAAAGAAUUGAAAAGUUAAACAAUUUGUUCCCAAUACAGAACAAACUUUAGCCUAAAAUUUAAUGCUAAAAAUUACUACAAUGAGCUGAGUGGCUGAAAUGGUGCCACUUAAGAAUAAUUUGGUGGAUGAAAUGAAUGAAUUGUUUUGGAGUACAAAUUUUGAUUUAGACAAUCUAUUGAAAUUUAUUAUAGUACUGUUUAUAUUUAGGGGCCAUUUUUCAGGAUCUAUGAAAAAUUUAUAAUGUUGAGUAGAACAUACUAUAAAAGUAAUGUUGGAUAGAGCAUAUCACACAUUAGCACAAUCCUAAUCAAUAAUGAUAGCUAUUCAUCUCUAGUUCACUUUUAUAGUUAAUCAAAGAAUUAUUAACAACGAAAAUUAAUUUUCUUGUUUUGGUUUUCUAUCAUUGAAUCAGCAAUAGUUUGAUAUAAGAACUAUUCAGAACAGACUAAAUUAAAGAGAAAGAUGGAAUACCGUCAAUGAAAAUAAUAGGAUAUGAUAUCUUCAAAGAUAAAGAAGGCAGUGAACUUUUUACACAUAUAAUACGUAUAAUUAUUAAAGAAUAUAAAAGAAAUUAAAAAAAGGACAUACAGUACAUAUAUAAACUGGAAAAGAAGAUCAAUAAUGUAAAAGUUUGAUGUUAACACUGUUCCUUAAUUAAAAUUUCCAUAAUGAUUAUACUCGCUAUUUUCUUUCAUUUGCACAAAUCAAUAUGCUCCUUUCCCCCCUUUUUUUCUCCUGAUCACUCCUUAAAGAACGAGACAUAUAGCAUACAUAGAGAAGAGAGUACUUUGUCUCCCUCAAUAAAUACCUUGAGAAAAAAAUGUAACUCAUUAGUAGUUUCUUGAUUUUGUAAAAUUUUCUUUAUUUAAAAAAGAGUAACAUUGGAAGAAGGUCAUUAGUAUCUUUUUUAUUAUCUAAAACAACAUUUAUUAUCUUUUUUAUUAUCUAAAACAACAUUUAUUAGGAGCAAAAUAAAAAAGCUAAACAACCACUUAUUAGAAACAGAGGGAGUACUAAUUAUCUGAUAGUGUUUUCAGUGUUACGCAUCAUGAACUAAAAGCUUAAUUUAAGAAGCAUUGACUGCUUAAUGAAAUCUUUUAAUUCACAAUGAUAAUAAGGAAAUCCAAUUUGUGUUGUAUCAUUCUAGCCUUUCCAUUUUUUAUGGAGACAAAGCAUUAAUAGACAAAUGGAGAUUGGACAUAUCAAGAUUUCAGUCUCAUCCUGUCAAAUCAUUAAUUGUAAAACCUUCAUGUAUUUCUAUGUUCAGCCUAAGAUAUUAAGGGGUUAAUAUUCUUUCAAAACAUGGAGAGUUUCUGAUAUUGGGAGACAUGGUUGUUUGUCGAAUAUAUUUAUUUCUCAAUAAUUGAAAUAUAUAAUUGUAUUUGAUGUGAAGAAAGUAUUAGUUAAAAUGCAGUUUGGUUCAUUUUGGCUAGGGAUUCCAUCCUUUCCAUGUAUAAAAGUUUUUGAAUGUAAGGAUGAGAAAUCAAGGUAUCUGCUACACUUUUUUUAUAUAUACGUGUAGCGCAUGUAUCGAGAAAUUAGUAAAAGAAAAAAAAAAUUCCUCAGCUAAUUCUCAAUCAACACCAACUCCAUCUUAGGAAAGUGUGGUUGGUUCUGUUCUUCCUCGAAUUCAAUGAAUUUUUGUCAUAUUGUCAUACAUAUAACGAAUAAUAUAUAUAUNNNNNNNNNNNNNNNNNNNNNNNNNNNNNNNNNNNNNNNNNNNNNNNNNNNNNNNNNNNNNNNNNNNNNNNNNNNNNNNNNNNNNNNNNNNNNNNNNNNNNNNNNNNNNNNNNNNNNNNNNNNNNNNNNNNNNNNNNNNNNNNNNNNNNNNNNNNNNNNNNNNNNNNNNNNNNNNNNNUAUGCCUCUUUUCCUCUUUAAAUUUUAAAGUAAUAAUUAAGAAGAAAAAAGAAGAAGAUACUAUUCAAUAAUUUAAUUCUGAUACCAUCAACAUGGAAGACUCCAUUUGCUUCAUCUAACAAUGGACUUUGGCAUUAUAUAAUUAACAAAACAAUUAAUUAUUAGGAUAACUUAAUCACCGACAAAGGUUUCUUACUAUUAUCCUUAUGAGAUUCCACUAGUUAAGCUAAAUAUUUUUAAUCGACGUAAGAGUUAUGAAUGUAUAAACAAGUAGAUCUUAGCUACAUUGACCUAGUCAAUCAUUAUUAUUACCGACAUAUUUAUGCUAUACAAAUAUUUGUCCUAAUGCUAUCUUUUAUUUAUUUUUUUAAUGGAAAAGGGUCAAAAAGAUUCCUGAAUUAUUCGAAGUGGAGCAAAAAUAUCCCUCAUUAGUUUUUUGUCUCAAAAGUAUCCCUCUCUAAUGAAAUAACACCAAGCAUGUCAUGUAGACAAAAUACGUCACUUGAACAGUUCACGUCAGAUCGACCAUCUUUAUUAAAGGUGAAUGCUCCAUUAAAUGAGAGAUUUUCCAUGUGGAUAUUGGCGCCUAGCGUGGACUGUUCAAGUGGCGCUUUUUGUCCACGGACAUACUUAGUAUCAUUCUGUUAGAGAGAUGAAUAGUUUUGAGCCAAAAAUUUAAUGGAGGAAUAGUUGUAAGCAAAAAAAUUAACGAAAGAUAUUUUUACUUUAUUUCAAAUAAUUUAGGAAUAUUUUUAAUCGUUUUUUGCUUUUUUAUGAUUUCUAAGUUGCUUAUAAUUUUUUUAUUACUACAUGAUUAACAAUAUUUUUUUAUUUCCAUAAAUAACAGAGAGUAAACUAAGUUGCACCUUAAUGGUCGAAAAGUAUUCACUAUUUUUUUUAGACUUAAAGAGGUGAUUCUGAUACAUGUCUUAUGAACAAUCAUUACAAAUUUUAUUAUUUUAAAUUUUGUUUUAGAUAAGUCUAUGAUUAAGUUGUUGGUGACCAAUUUAUUCAAUUGAGUGAGGCUGGCAUGUCCAAAGAUUUUAGGACGAAGAAACGGGUUAUUAUGUUAAUUAGGUAGAUUUAUUUUAGGGAGAAAUAAGACAUAUGCUUUAAUUUGUAAAUAUUAAUAAGUAUUUUUCCAUUUAAGCAUAGCUUCUUUUAAAUUUAAAUUAGUAAUCAAACAGUGUUUAGUAGUAUUUUCUACCUUGUUGGCUUUGUCACACAUUUGAGAGAUGCUAAAAAUGUGUAUUAAAAAAAAAAUAAGAUGGAAAGAGAAGCAUACUGGCUCAAAGGUAAAGCCGCUAAAACGUGCUUUAAGGUUCAAAAAUAGUAUUUUUAUUAUAUAAUUAGUCUCUCCUAUGUUUUACAGUUUAUAGUCUAUAUGCAAUAAAUCAAAUUCUAUUAUAUAAUUUUUUAUAUAAAAAUAAAAGUUUCUUUAAAGUUAUUAAAGGAUGUCCAUUUGUUGUAAUAAAAUACAUUGAUUUUGGUUCUCAGAAUCCUAUUGGUACAUAAUAAACUUUGGCUAUUUUAAUUCAAAGUUUUAAAAUAUCAAAUACAAUUCUAUAAUCUUUAACUAAAAAUUUAAAAAUAAGAUUAUUAAACUUCCGAUGAUAUGAUUGUAUAAGAAAAUAAUAAACAUUUUAAAAUGUUAUUGUAACUUUAUAUAAUACAUGUAACAGUAUUUUUCUAGUGAUUAUAAGAAGAAUUUUAUUGAAAAAUCAAACGUAAUUGUAACUUGCGGUAUUGAAAGUAAAAUUUGAUGGCGAGGAAAAUAUGAGUCCAUUCUUAUGUCAUUAAAAUUUAUAAACCUUUUUAUUAAGAUGACUUGAAAAUGGUAUUUAACUAUAUAUAAUUUAUAAUUUUUUAAUUAUCAUAAAUAAAAUAUUUCAUUUUCGUGAUAUUUUAGUUUGGAUUGCUUUCUAUCUAUCAUUAAUGACAAAAUACAUCGUCAGACCCCUUAAAUUGACACCAUUUUUCACUUUGGCAUCUUAAGUGGACAUUGUUCACCUUUGGCAGUUCAAAUAACCAUAAAGUGUAUCAUUUUGACAUCUUUCGACAUCAAUAAAAGUGUGUGUUACACUCACUGUCAACGUGGAUAAAACGGCCAACUGAUUUAUGCCAAUUCAUUUAAAUUGCCACAUCAUUAUUUAUAUUCACAAUUAGUUUUAAAAAAAAUAAAAUCAAAACAUAUGGCAAUUAAUGACAUAAUUAUCUAACUCAUUAAUAUAUAUACAAAAUUAAAUUAAAAGAAUCAAUUAAUUACUGACACGUGACAUUUUUCAAAAUAAUUAUAAAAUUAUUUAUUUUAUUUGGACAACCCUCCACCCACCUCCCACCCCCAAACUCCAAAGUCAUCUUCUCUACCACCAUCUAUCCCCCCGAUACCCCCCACCCUAAAUCAUCUUCUCUAUUUGGCAACACCCCUCUUCCCGUCAUGUUCUCCAUCUCCCUCCCCCCCCACCACCCCCAACCCCUGCCUGAGUCAUCUUAUCCUCUCCAUUUGCCCCUUUGAAAAGAUGAACACUCAAUCAAAGAUUAUAGUAUAUAUGUAUAUCAAAGACCUUGAUUAGUCAUAGCUUGACCUCAAAAAUUAGAAGGCAUUAAAUGACUGUUUUUUUUCUUAACAAAAAAUAAAAAAGAAAUGAUUGACCUUGAAAUAUAUUCAUCAGUAGUAUGUGUGAACCUAUUCUUUGGCAACGCAGUGGUCUUCUUACUACUUCAGUUGCAGUCAUAACAUGUUGACAAAGAUGGUGAUUGCUCAACAACAAAUCACUCGUUGUUGUUAGUGUGUUAGUGUGUUUCGUUAUUCUUGAAAAGUUCAACCUCCAUUAAUGGAAGUUAAGCUAAAGAAAGGUUGUGUGAAGAAGGCAAUGUGAGGAAAUUUUUUGUAAUUAUUUGGUCAAUAAAACAUGUGCCAUUAAUUUAUUGGAUCAAUUUUUACUGAUUUGGCAAUAGAGAUUUUCAAUAGUUUUAAAAAAAAUUUAAAGAUGAAAAAUUACAAAAAUAUCCCUAAAAAUUUAUGAAAAUACUCUUCAAACGCUCCAAAAAGUGAGCAACGUCCACUUGAAGUGCCAAAAUGAAAGAUAGCACCAAGUUGAGGACCGACAAUAUAUUCUUUCUUCAUUAAUUAGUGCAUGUACUACUCCUGUACUCCAUUGGUUUUGAUUUUUUCUUGUUCCUGCACAUUAUUUCUCCUUUUUUACUGUCUAUAUAGUACUAUUUUUUAACUUAGUAUGUUGAAAUUAAUUAUUUUUUAUUUGCAUAUGAAAAAGAAAUACUUAACUAGAUUGAUUCUUAUUCGUAUAUAAAAAGUUAAAAUAGUGAAAUUCAAGAAAAAUAUAUGAAUUUUAUAUUUGGCUUUAGAUGGCUAAUUAUAUUAAGCCGCCCUUGAAGGGACGGUGAAUUGUAAUAUUUUUUGUGGUUGACUAUGAGGCGAGCUAUAAUAUGAAAUCAAAUAAGUAACAUAGUAUAAUUAUGUGCUAAGUAAUGUGUCAUAUGAUAUUUUUCAAUUGAUUUGAAUUCAGUGUGAAUUAUAGUUAGUCCUUCCUUUUGGAUUUUUGUUAAACUGAAAUUUUCAUUUUUAUUACAUAGAGAGAGAAGUUAUAAAAAGGAUGAUUACAACGUGUUGUAACUUUUCAGGACGAAGAACAACAAGUCAUUGUUUUAUUAAAGAGGGAUUGUCCCUUGUCCAUAUCAGCUUUCAAGAAAAUAACAGAACAAAUGUUGAAUCUACUACUAUGAGAAAUUCAUCAUUUGUUUUGUUGGAGUUAGCCAAUGUCUGCUUUCUCCUUCCUAAUCCUAAAAUUAGCCAAACCAACUUUAUCCAACCUAUAAGUCCUUUAUAUUCAUCAUUAAGCUCUUGAAAUUGUUGUUGAGUACAAUGUUGAGGGUGUACUUAAUUUCUAAUCAUACAAUAGCGGUCUUUUUCACUCUUUGUAGUUGAUAUAUUGCCUCACCAAACACUAUUUUCCUCUCUUCGCUCUUUUUAAAUACACAAUAAAUGAAUUAGGAAGUUACAAUGCUUGUUAAGAAUAGCAUAGAGCUUUGGAGAAUGUUUGGACAGGAUGUACAGUUUCUUUUCCUAGAAGGCAUAUAUAGUCUUUGUGUGCUUGAUGUCUUGAAAAAGGAUAGAGAAAGACAAUCCAUACUACAUGAAAAAUAUUGAAUUGAGACAUAAUAUUUAUCAAUGGACAAGUCUGGCAUAGAGUUUAAACGGAUUUGUGAUAGAAUUAACUAAUUUAUAGUGUUGAUUUUAAUUUUUUCAAAAAUAAAUCAUAAAAUAGAUUGCCUAGCUUGACGUGUUAUGUGAUAUUAUGCAUAGAUUAAGUCCAUUGGAGGUUGUCUGAUUAGAGAAUCGGACAAUGCUUAGCAUGGGAAUUUCAUUGAAUAUGGAGCUAAGUGAGACUUUAAUCUCUCAUUUACUUGCUUUUUCAAAAGCAUUAUUUAAAACUGAGAAAUCGCUUCAAACUACUCCUCCACCCCAUUUUAGUUGGGCACAUUCUAUUUUAUACGGUGAUUAAGAAUCAUAAAUUGAAUGAUAAAUUUUACGAUCUUACCCUUUACUCAUAUUAAUGUUAUUCGUUGGGCAUAAGAAUGAACAUUGAAAUUGAAAUUGUUAACAUUUAAUAUAUACUAAAAAUUGUAGGGGAAAAAUAAAAAAAUAAUUAAUUUUAUCCUAAUUUAGUAAGUGGUCUUUUUUGGUGGGCUGAAACGCAUUAAAAAGAAAUAGCGGAGUAUUACAGUAGCACCUGGAUUAACCAGGAUCUACAAAAUUUGAGUUUGAGCUUAUGCCCUCUAAUGAAACAUUACAACACCUUGUUUGCCUAAUGAAACUAGUUCCUAGGAUGUCAGCCCAGGUAGCUUUGCAGCAUACAUUGGAGGAAUUACAAAAGAGUUUCUCUGUCCACAAACUUUCAGUCUUGCUCCUUCCUUAGCUAAUGCAUCCUUCACCAUAUUCUGCUCUUUAUAGCAGUGCUGGAUUUGUGGUCGUCCCAGACUCCUGAUUAGCAACCUGCAUCCAUUAAUUAUGGCAUUAUAGUGGAGGUUUCCCUCUUUGAGCAUAAUAAUAACCUUUUUCGAGUCUACAUUGAUGUCCACGGGAACUAAGGACAUUUCCUCCAUAAUUUUUAGUCCCUUUAGUUGAGCAAAGAGCUCCAUCUGGUUAUUAGUAAUCACAGGGAAAACUUUUUUGAAACCUGUAGUCCAAUUCCCUUCAUUGUCUCUAAUAACCCCUCCAAUACCACCCCUACCAGGAUUUCCCAAACAUGAGCCAUCAGUGUUAAGUUUAAAUCUUUCUUUAGAGGUUGGUUCCCACUUAACACUAAUGUUCAAUAAUCUAUUUGUCACGACCUGAAUCAAGGUCUGGCCGUGAUGGGCAUCCCUAGCCAACCAAGGUCGGAGAUGACCCCUAACCUUACCUCAAGAGCACAUCAGUAAAAACAAACAACAAAAUCCAACCAAGAUAAAAAGAGAAACAUAUGAUUCCAAAAGAAAGUUAAGAGUCAAAACCAACUCCAUAAUAAUAUCCCGACACUGCCUACAAAAGUCUCUAAUCCAAAAAUACCAACUAAGUCAAGACAUGUCCCCGACUAUAACAAAAGAAAUUCAAAAGUUCUGAAAUGAUAAAUGUAACUAAGAAAGAGGCCAAGUCUUUUGAUAGUUCAUAAGUUGGUUGAACUUGUGUUGAACUUAUUGUGGAUUAAAUACAAAUUUUGUACCCAGAAUAACAAUCUUAAGGAAUUUAUUAAUAAUUUUAAUUUUUGAGUUUCUAGAGAUUAAAACUUUUUGCUUUCUACGCUGUUUGAACUUUAUAGUGAUUUGAAGUUAUAAAAACUUCAUCACGGGUUAAUGUUCAUUCAGUUGAUGAUUAGAAGAACAUAAAAGCUUCAACAUUAAACUAGAAAUAAGUUGUUUAAAGUUUUUAAAACUUUAUUCUUAGUAUUUUGACUUACUAAAUUGGUUGUCUUUUUGUCACAGUAAAAAUGAUUAUUGAAAAUCAAGUUAAUGAUGGAAUGGUCAAUGUCACAACAACAAAUAUUGCUACUUAAAAUCGUUCAAAUGCUGCUCCGCCAAGGCACUGACAGAAAAAUCAGAAAGUUUUCUAGUGUGGAUUUUAAAAGAUGGCAGCAGAAGUUGUUCUUUUAUCUGACUACAUUAAAUCUACAAAGGUUCAUCACUGAAAGCAUUUCAGAGUUUUCGAAAGAAAUAUCCAAAAAUAUACUUUAUUACUACAAAAGCUUGAAAGCACUUGAAUUUUUUAUAUAAGAACUACAUACUGAGUGGCUACAACAUGGCAUGUACAAUGUGUACAGCAAUAUGAAGACCUCUAAGGAACUAUGGGUAGCUUUGGAAAAGAAGUACAACAUAGAGAAUGCAUGAAUGAAGAAAUUUAUUAUUGCAAGAUUUGUAGAUUUUAGGUGGUAGACAGUAAUACUGUAGUUACCCAAGUUCAAGAACCGCAAGUCAUCAUUCAUGAUCUCCUCACCAAAGGUAUAAAUUUGUUCUUGAUACUUACAUAGUCUCUGAUGUAGGCUUAAUUGUGAACGAGGCUUAUCAAGUAGCUGCUAUAAUCGAGAAGUUACCACAUUUGUGGAAAGACUUCAAAAACUACUUAAAGCACAAGCACAAGGAGAUGUCUUUCGAAGACCUUAUUGUGAGGUUAAGAAUCGAAGAGGACAAUAAAGCAUCAGAAAAGAGGUCUCGAUGGAAUUUACAAUAAGUAGAGAAAAUAUUGUGGAAGACGACCCCCAAUAAAUUAAAGAGAGAAAGGAAGCGUCAGGACAAUAAGGCAAUCCUCCUAAGAAGAAAUUCAAAGAAAAUUAUUUUAACUGUGACAAAGUUGGCCACAAGUCUUCAGAUUGUCAGGCUCCUAAGAAGGACAAGAAAAGAGGAUCAAGCUAACAUGGUUGAAUCCAAGAUGAUGUGGAGAUCUAUGUGCUAUGCUUUUGGAGUGCAUGUUGGUUGAAAAUCCUAGAGAGUAGUGGAUUAAUUCAGGUGCCACUAGCCACAAUGUGCCAACAAAAAAUUAUUUCCAUUAUAUUUUCUGGCUCAGGCUAAUGAGAACAUAUUCACGGUAACUCUGUUACGGUAAAGAUUGAAGGAAAAUGCAAGAUUUACUUGAAGAUGACAUUGGGCAAGGUGGUGACACUAAACAACGUCCUUUAUGUUUCAAAGUUGCGAAAGAACUUAGUUUCUACUUCACUUCUAACUAAAAAUAGAUUCAAAUAAGAAUUUGUUUCUGACAAAGCUGUAAUUAGUAAGCAAGAAGUGUAUGUAGGUAAAGGUUACUUCAUCGAGGAUUUUUUUAAGAUCAGUGUAAUAAAUGUUGAAAUCAAUAAAAAUUCUGUUUCUUCUUACUUACUUGAGUUAAAUGAAUUAUGGCAUGAACAUUUAGGACAUAUUAAUUACAAAACUUUGCAAAAACUGAUUAAUUUAAAAAUUUUGCCUAACUUUGAGUGUAAUAAAUCAAAUUGUCAAACAUGUGUGGAAUCUAAGUAUGCUAAGCAUCUAUAUAAGUCUGUUGAAAGGAAUUUCAAUCCCUUAGACUUAAUCCACACAAAUAUUUAUGCUAUGAAGUCAAUACCAUCUCAUGGUGAGAAAAAGUAUUUCAUAACUUUUAUUAAUGAUUGCGCUAGAUAUUGUUAUUUUUAUUUGCUAAAUGAUAAGAAUAAAGUAAUAGACGUAUUUUGGUAAUAUAAAACUAAAGUUGAAAACCAGUUGGAUAAAAAGAUCAAAAUAAUAAGAAGUAAUAGGAGUAGAGAGUAUGUAUCUUCUUUUGCAGGGGUAUGUUAGAAAAAAGGAAUUAUCCAUCAAACUAAUUUCCCGUAUUCACCUCAAUCAAAUGGGAUUGUGAAAAGAAAAAUUGAAUGUUAAAGAAAAUAAUAAUUGUCUUACUCAUAAGUUCAGAUAUACCGCAAAACUUGUGGGGGGAAGUUAUCCUUACAGCAAAUCGAAUACUCAAUAGAGUUCCCUAUAAGAAGACACACUCUAUCCUAUAUGAAAAUGAAAAGGAAGGAAACCCAACUUGAAAUAUUUCAAAGUGUGGGAUUGUCUAGCUAAAGUCCAAGUCUAUAUACCUAAAAGGAUAAAAAUAGGACCAAAGAUUGUGGAUUGUGUGUUCAUCGUAUAUGCUACAAGGAGUAAAGCAUUUCAAUAUUUGGUUCAUAAAUUCGAACCAUGAAAAUACGAUAAUCUGAAUCAGAUAAUAUUAAGUUCUUUGAAUACAUUUAUCCGUAUAAAAUUGGACAUGAGAUGUCUAGUGGAGGAUCUAAACAACCUCGAGAUGAACCAAAGGAGAAUGUACUUAAUAAUGAGAAUCAAGGUGUAGUACACGUCAAAUACCGUCAAUUUUCUUUGGAUAAGAUUUUGUAACAUUUCUUCUUGAAAAUGAGCCUUAAAAAUUGAAAGAAACGAUGUCGUCUUCAGACCCAUCCUUUUGGAAAGAGGCAAUCAAUGGUGAUAUAGAUUCAAUCUUGAGCAACCAUACUUAGGAAUUGAUUGAUCUUUCUCCGGUAAAUAAACCUUUAGGUUCUAAAUGGAUCUUCAAAAGGAAAAUAAAAGCUAGUGGUACUUUUGACAAUUAUAAGACAAGACUUGUUGUGAAAGAUUUUAGACAAAAAGAAGGCCUUUAUUAUUUCGAUACAUACUCGCCAAUAACAAGGAUAACGUUCAUUCAGAUGUUGGUUGCGUUGACGACAGUAUAUGAUGUUGAAAUUCAUCAAAUGGAUGUGAAUACAACGUUCUUAAAUAGAGAAUUGAAGGGAGAAAUUUACAUAAAACAACCUAAGGGUUUUGUAGUUUCUGGUAAAGAAAAGAAAUUGUGCAAACUUGUUAAAACACUUUAUGGAUUAAAACAAGCACCCAAAUAGUGGUAUAUAAAAUUUGACCAAACCAUGUUGGCAAACGAUUUCAGGAUAAACGAAUGUGAUAAAUGUGUUUACAUUAAAGACACUCCAAAUCACAAAGUCAUUAUUUGUUUGUAUGUGGAUGACAUGUUGACCAUCAGUAGAGACAUUCUAACAUAAAUGCUAUGAAAUAAAUGCCUGAGGGCAAGUUUGAUUUGAAAGACCUUAGAGUUGCUGACGUAAUCUUAGGGAUAAGAAUUUUUAGAACUCCAUAGGUAUUGGCGUUGUCACAGUCGCAUUACAUUGAAAAGGUGUUUGACAAGUUCAAGCAUUUAGAUUUCAAUAUUGUUGAGACUACAUUAGACAUGAGUUUUGCAUUUCAAAAGAAUGAAGGUGAAAGUAACUCACAGUUGGACUAUGCAAGAGUGUUGAAAAGUUUGGUGUAUAUAUCAUAAAUUGUACGUGAGAAGACAUAGAAUGCACUAUUAGUAAAUUAAGUCGGUAAAAGACUACUCCUAAUCAAACUCAUUGGAUGGAUAUGAAAAAAGUUUUAGGGUAUCUAAAACAUACCCAAGACUAUGUUUUUAUUAUAACAAAUAUCCAGCGUAGAUGAGGUGACUUUUCAAAAUAAUGUAAUUUUUCGUGAACCAUUACUUUCUUUCUGAAGCACCACAUUGUGGCUAUAAAUGCCUGAAUUUUUCCUCUGAUAAAGGUAUGAAGAUUUGAAGGGAAAAACAUUUUCUUUUUCUUCUUAAAACUCUGGUAUGAUCUUCAAACUAUUGAGUGAGUUCGUUGUUCAGAAAAUUUGAGGUACCACUAUUUUUUGAAGAGAAUCAUUUUUCGUAGGGAGGAUAUAUUCCUUUAACCUCGAGUACUUGACUAGAAUAAUUUUUUUAAGGAUACAUCGUGAAUUCAGUGGAUUUGACUCAAUCGUUUCUGUCUUCAUCCCAUUUUCUUAAAGUUGGUUUUAUUAUUUUUCCAGAAAAAUAGUUUGAACAUUAUAUUGAUAGUUCUUCAUUUGUUUGAACUUGUGUUUGAAGUUUUUGAAACUUCAUUUUGAUAGGUUAUAAGUUGUUGAACUUGUGUUGAAGUUAUUGUGGAUUAAAUACAGAUUUUGUACAAAAAAUAAUACGAAAUAGCUGUGAAACCUUGGGGAGCGACCAACUAAAAGAAUUUGCACCGAAGUCGAUCCGAAAUCACUUUCAAAGUAAUGGCUUACCACGACACAAUAUUUUCAGUUCCAUAUUAAUAUUAGAGUAAUUUUUCCAACAAGUGGCAAAGUUUGUUAUUUAACUACAAAAUUUGUUCGUCAACAAAUCCUUGUUUUUCUUUUGUUGGGUAGUAUAUUUUGGUUUUAUCUAAUCAAUCUAUUGACAAGCUAAGCGCCUACGAAAACGAUGUAGAUGUUCUACCUACGGGGGCGGGGGGGUGUCUAUUACAAUUACAAAAAUAAACUGAAUGUUGAGUUUCAGUUCCACUAACACCUUGCAAAAGUGAAUUACCCAUGAAAGAUGGGGGUAUUAUAUCAAAAAAAAAAAACAUAUCUUUUGUUGUUUUCUAAUUUCUAACGAUAUAUUUUUGAUCCAUUGCUUUCCCAUAGUAUGCUAACUUGACAGCCACUUUUUUUUGCUUUUCUAUAUACGUGGAACACUUUUUUUUUCGUCAAAAUGCGAAUCAUAAUUUAAUCCGUCAAUUUUUACUAAAUUGUAAUUGUCUUUUUUUUUUUAUAAACAGAGAUAGCAGGUAACCCAAGAAAAAAAAAUGUCUAGCAGAACAUAUUACGCAUCCUCGAAACUACUAUGACCUAUAAAACUAGAUGAUAAAAAAAUUGGUUUUAUCAUACUGGCACACUUGUAGAUGUUCCAUAAUUCAUGUAAAUUUACUUCAGAUGAAUUGUAGUUUUUGUGUUCAAAUUCAUAUAAAAACGAAAUGAUUUAAGUUUCGUUCUUUGAAUAUCGCCAUACAGAAAUAAAAUAGAACAAGGGGAGUACUUUUCUAGGUCUCUAUUUGAUAUUUUAUCAGUAACAAUUUGAAAAUAGUCAUAACUCAUACACGUAGUAGUAGGUGGAAAUGUUUCUGAUUGAAUUCGGCAUAAAAAUAUUUUUAUGGAAAAAAAGUUUCUUCUAGUUUUGGUUUAUAAGUGGAUCAAUUUUUGUGGAAAAAAAGUUUCUGCUAGUUUUGGUUUCUAAGUGGAUCAUUCCCUAGCGCUCUACUAAAUGAUUUAAUUUUAUAUAAAGAAGAUGAAAUUAUAAGAAAAAAGAGAAAAAAGAAAAAGACUAGAGAUCUAAAGAAGGGAAAACUUAAAGUAUGUGGUAAUAACUUCUUUUAUUCAUCACAUAAUCUCUGCAUUUUGCAAGGAGAUUGAAACUGAGCAAACAUACACAAAGACAUAAAAGUAAAAAUACAAAUAUAAAUAGAGUACAAACAAUAUCACUAAUAACUUAGAGAACAUGAAGCUACAAAAGAACUUCGCCUCCCGUGGGGCUUAUUGUUUACUCUUUUUUCUUCUUUUUGGCAUUGCCUCUCGAAAUGGAAAAUGCCUUUCCUUGAGCUCAACAUUCUGCUUUUCCUGCAUAAGAAUAUAAUAUUGUCAAUGAGAACAUAUAGUAACUGAUUAAUAAACCUAAUAAGUAGGAGAUAGCAUAGGCUUAUAUAUUAAUGCGUUUGCAUGAAGAAAUUGUGCAACUUGUAUUGAUUUGCAUUUAGACAAAUCAUUUUUAAGAAUUUUAGUUUGGCUUAAUUACCUUAGAUUUGAUGUUGUUGUUUCUUAGUGAUGGUAGGGAGGAGGUGGAGACUUGUAAACCGGAGUUGGUGGUGGUGGAGACUUGUAUACUGGUGCAGGAUGGUGUGGUGUUGGUGAAGGAUGGUAUGGAUUCACUGGUGGUGGUGACUUGUAAACGGGUGUUGGUGGUGGUGGAGAUUUGUAUACUGGUGCAGGGUGGUAUGACUUCACUGGUGGUGGUGGUGACUGGUAAACGGGUGUUGGUGGUGGUGGAGACUUAUAAACUGGUGCAGGAUGAUAUGGCUUCACUGGUGAUGGUGGUGACUUGUAAACGGGUGUUGGUGGUGGUGGAGACUUAUAAAUUGGUGUGGGAUGAUAUGGUGUUGGUGGAGGAUAGUAUGGCCUCUUAGGUGGUGGUGGUGACUUGUAAACUGGAGUUGGUGGUGGUGGCGACUUGUACACUGGAGUGUGUGGCGGGUAGUAUGGCUUUUUGGGUGGUGGUGGGGACUUGUAAACUGGAGUUGGGGGUGGUGGAGACUUGUAAACUGGGGUGUGUGGAGGGUAGUGUGGUGGUGACUUGUAAACUGGAGUCGGGGGUGGUGGAGACUUGUAAACUGGGGUGUGUGGAGGAUAAUGUGGCUUCUUUGGUGGUGGUGGGGACUUGUAAACUGGAGUGUGUGGAGGAUAGUGUGGCUUCUUCGGUGGUGGUGGUGACUUGUAAACAGGAGUUGGUGGUGGUGGCGACUUGUGAACUGGUGCGGGAUGAUAAGGUGUUGGUGAAGGGUGGUAUGGCUUCUUAGGUGGUGGUGGAGAUUUGUAAACAGGAUGAUGAUGGUGUGGUGGAGGGGACUUAUAUACUGGGUGGUGAUGGUUUGGUGGAGGAGACUUAUAUACUGGGUGGUGGG
rnacentral:lncRNA from 1 species